GGUGAACCAGCGGAGGGAUCAUUA
rnacentral:ncRNA from 27 species